UACGGAGGGUGCAAGCGUUAUCCGGAUUCACUGGGUUUAAAGGGUGCGUAGGUGGGUUGGUAAGUCAGUGGUGAAAUCCCCGAGCUUAACUUGGGAACUGCCAUUGAUACUAUCAGUCUUGAAUACCGUGGAGGUCGGCGGAAUAUGUCAUGUAGCGGUGAAAUGCUUAGAUAUGACAUAGAACACCAAUUGCGAAGGCAGCUUACUACACAGUUAUUGACACUGAGGCACGAAAGCGUGGGGAUCAAACAGG
rnacentral:rRNA from 1 species